rnacentral:rRNA from 1 species
AAGAACAUAUCUGAGAGUAACUGUUCAGGUAUUGACGGUAUUUAACCAGAAAGCCACGGCUAACUACGUGCCAGCAGCCGCGGUAAUACGUAGGUGGCAAGCGUUGUCCGGAUUUAUUGGGCGUAAAGCGAGCGCAGGCGGUUUUUUAAGUCUGAUGUGAAAGCCUUCGGCUCAACCGAAGAAGUGCAUCGGAAACUGGGAAACUUGAGUGCAGAAGAGGACAGUGGAACUCCAUGUGUAGCGGUGAAAUGCGUAGAUAUAUGGAAGAACACCAGUGGCGAAGGCGGCUGUCUGGUCUGUAACUGACGCUGAGGCUCGAAAGUAUGGGUAGCAAACAGGAUUAGAUACCCUGGUAGUCCAUACCGUAAACGAUGAAUGCUAAGUGUUGGAGGGUUUCCGCCCUUCAGUGCUGCAGCUAACGCAUUAAGCAUUCCGCCUGGGGAGUACGGCCGCAAGGCUGAAACUCAAAGGAAUUGACGGGGGCCCGCACAAGCGGUGGAGCAUGUGGUUUAAUUCGAAGCUACGCGAAGAACCUUACCAGGUCUUGACAUACUAUGCAAAUCUAAGAGAUUAGACGUUCCCUUCGGGGACAUGGAUACAGGUGGUGCAUGGUUGUCGUCAGCUCGUGUCGUGAGAUGUUGGGUUAAGUCCCGCAACGAGCGCAACCCUUAUUAUCAGUUGCCAGCAUUAAGUUGGGCACUCUGGUGAGACUGCCGGUGACAAACCGGAGGAAGGUGGGGAUGACGUCAAAUCAUCAUGCCCCUUAUGACCUGGGCUACACACGUGCUACAAUGGAUGGUACAACGAGUUGCGAACUCGCGAGAGUAAGCUAAUCUCUUAAAGCCAUUCUC